AGUGAACGCUGGCGGUAGGCCUAACACAUGCAAGUCGAACGGCAGCACAGUAAGAGCUUGCUCUUACGGGUGGCGAGUGGCGGACGGGUGAGGAAUACAUCGGAAUCUACUUUUUCGUGGGGGAUAACGUAGGGAAACUUACGCUACUACCGCAUACGACCUACGGGUGAAAGCAGGGGAUCUUCGGACCUUGCGCGAUUGAAUGAGCCGAUGUCGGAUUAGCUAGUUGGCGGGGUAAAGGCCCACCAAGGCGACGAUCCGUAGCUGGUCUGAGAGGAUGAUCAGCCACACUGGAACUGAGACACGGUCCAGACUCCUACGGGAGGCAGCAGUGGGGAAUAUUGGACAAUGGGCGCAAGCCUGAUCCAGCCAUACCGCGUGGGUGAAGAAGGCCUUCGGGUUGUAAAGCCCUUUUGUUGGGAAAGAAAAGCAGCAGGUGAAUACCCCGAUGUUCUGACGGUACCCAAAGAAUAAGCACCGGCUAACUUCGUG
rnacentral:rRNA from 1 species